AUCAAAUUUUUAACCCAAUUAAAAAUUAGUCAAGUCAAAACUCUGAUCGAAUCAGGAUCAAAUUUUUCUUGUAAUCAGACUCUAUCAUAUCAAACCCAAUCAGAGUCGAAUUGAAUCUAAUUCAAUUAGACUUGUUCCAAAGCUCUUUACUCAAUUAAAUUGAGUCAAUUAGUAAUCUAAUUACUAAUAAAUUAUUCAAAAAAUAAUAGAAUUUCAGUCUUAGUGGGACUCUCCUCCAAAGUCCUAAUCCGAGUAGGACUCUUCA
rnacentral:lncRNA from 1 species